GAGGGUAUAGUUCAAGUGGUAGAGCGCAUGCUUAGCAUACAUGAGGUCCUGGGUUCAACCCCCAGAACCCCCU
rnacentral:tRNA from 1 species